CAAAACGACGCUAUUUGGAUAUAAAGAUGGAUUAUUUGGGACCAAACUUACAUUUGUUAUUGAAGUAGAAGUCCUGGGAGUGCAUUCUGACGAAGACAACAAAAGGUAAUCAAACUUUUAUAAUAGUAAAUCUGAUAUUGGUGAAGGCUAAACGUGCUGGGUGUCUAAAUAGCUAGCCCUUGAUGGCUGGGCUAUGUACUUAGAAUAUUGCAAAAUGUGCUUCAUCCGAAAAGAUAUUUUAAAAUCGGACAUAUGGAGUGCAUAGAGGAGUAAUGUAUCUAUAAUUCUUAAAAUAAUUGUUAUGCUUUUUGUGAACGUUUAUCGUGAGUAAUUUAGUAAAAUUGUUAGUAAAUUCACCGGAAGUUUGCGGGGGGUAUGCUAGUUCUGAACGUCACAUGCUAAUGUAAAAAGCUGUUUUUUGAUAUAAAUAUGAACUUGAUUGAACAGACAUGCAUGUAUUGUAUAACAUAAUGUCCUAGGUGUGUCAUCUGAUGAAGAUCAUAAAAGGUUAGUGCUGCAUUUAGCUGUGGCUUUGGGUUUAUGUGACAUUGUAUGCUAGCUUGAAAAAUGGGUGUCUGAUUAUUUCUGGCUGGGCACUCUCCUGACAUAAUCUAAUGUUUUGUUUUCGUUGUAAAGCCUUUUUGAAAUCGGACAGUGUGGUUAGAUAAACGAGAGUCUUGUCUUUAAAUAGCUGUAAAAUAGUCAUAUGUUUGAGAAAUUGAAGUAAUAGUAUUUCAAACGAUUCAAAAAUCGCGCCACUGGAUUAGACUGGCUGUUACGUAGGUGGGACGAAUUCGUCCCGCCUAGCCCAUAGAGGUUAACUACAUUGGUGUCAGGUAAUUGGACAACACCACUGAAAGCAUGUCCUGGCAGAGUUAUAGUCACAAUAAGCUGUGUUCGAGGAAUAAGCUGUGUUAGAAUACCCACACUAAAAUACUGUAUACUACAUACUUAAUGAGUAUAUAGUAUGUACUAUUAGUUCAUUAGUGCGGUUAGUAUGCGUAUUCAAACACAACUAUAGUCAGGGAUGGAAAGUGAGCUAGCCCACUAGCCCGAGGCUACUACCUUUCAGACCAGACUAGUAGAUCUACUAGCCCGAGGCUACUACCUUUCAGACCAGACUAGUAGACCCACUAGCCCGAGGCUACUACCUUUCAGACAAGAAUAGUAGACCCACUAGCCCGAGGCUACUACCUUUCAGACCAGAAUAGUAGACCCACUAGCGCGAGGCUACUACCUUUCAGACCAGACUAGUAGAUCCACUAGCCCGAGGCUAUCACCUUUCAGACAAGAAUAGUAUAAAAUGUGCCCAUCUAACCAGCUAGUCUGAGGAUAGUACACUAUAGACCAUUCACUAGAGGUAAAGAUCUAUAGAACUAUAGACCAUUCACUAGAGGAAUAGAACUAUAGACCAUUCACUAGAGGUAAAGAACUAUAGAACUAUAGACCAUUCACUAGAGGAAUAGAACUAUAGACCAUUCACUAGAGGAAUAGAACUAUGGACCAUUCACUAGAGGUAAAGAACUAUAGACCAUUCACUAGAGGUAUAGAACUAUAGAACUAUAGACCAUUCACUAGAGGAAUAGAACUAUAGACCAUUCACUAGAGGUAAAGAACUAUAGAACUAUAGACCAUUCACUAGAGGUAAAGAACUAUAGAACUAUAGACCAUUCACUAGAGGUUUAGAACUAUAGACCAUUCACUAGAGGUAUAGAAAUAUAGACCAUUCACUAGAGGUAUAGAACUAUAGAUCAUUCACUAGAGGUAUAGAACUAUAGAACUAUAGACCAUUCACUAGAGGUAUAGAACUAUAGACCAUUCACUAGAGGUAAAGAACUAUAGAACUAUAGACCAUUCACUAGAGGUAUAGAACUAUAGACCAUUCACUAGAGGUAUAGAAACAAGGGGUGGAGCCCAUGAGGUGGUGGGAGGAGACGGAGGGAUGAGUACAGCUUUGGGAAUUCUGUUCGUCUUUUUUUCCGCCCAACAAGGUGGCUAAAUAGGGUGUGAGCCGUUCUGAGAUGUUGUUGCGGGAAGUAUGUGCCUCUGGGUUACUGGGGAAUAGAUGCUUUAUAAUAGCCUGUGUGUUUCUGGGUAAGGUUGGGCCCUGACUCUUUGUGUUGUUAAGAGGAUUCUAGAACAGGUCAGUUGGUUUCUUACUGUCACAUGUAUGCCGGUGAUCUGAGUCAGACCUUUUAUUUAAU
rnacentral:lncRNA from 1 species